rnacentral:rRNA from 1 species
AUGGGCUGGGUUGACAUGCUAUUUGGUUCGGCGCGCGGUGACCAGGAUCUCUUCCUGGACUACAUGAAGAUAGCUACGAGAUACAACAACGUGGAUGGACUAGUAGAUGCUGCUGAACUAGUCCAGAAGAAGGCGACGCCUCAAGAGAAGAAGUGCAUGCAGCAGAGAUAUGGAACUAAAGGUAAGGGGAUCCUACCCAUCGACACUCUACUAUGGGCAAUGAGAGAGGCAGAGUCCUCCGAUGAUGGCCAGCGUAAGCGGUGGGAAGCCCACCGCUAUGUUGCUCCGGCACAAGCUGCAACUGAUGUAGCAGUGCAGGAGAGGACGACGACUUGCAGAUAG